rnacentral:rRNA from 1 species
CUGCAGCCCGAGUGGUGGUCGAUUUUAUUGAGCCUAAAGCGUCCGUAGCCGGACUAGUAAACCCUUGGGUAAAUUGGGCAGCUUAACUGUCCAAAUUCCGAGGGGACUGCUAGUCUUGGGACCGGGAGAGGUCAGAGGUACUCAAGGGGUAGGGGCUAAAUCCUGUAAUCCUUUGGGGACCACCAGUGGCGAAGGCGUCUGACUAGAACGGAUCCGACGGUAAGGGACGAAACCCUGGGGCGCGAACCGGAUUAGAGACCCGAGUAGUCC